UACGUAGGGGCCUAGCGUUGUCCGGAUUUAUUGGGCGUAAAGAGCUCGUAGGCGGUUCGGUAAGUCGGAUGUGAAAGCCCUCGGCUUAACUGAGGAAGUGCACCCGAAACUGAGUAGCUAGAGUACGAAAGAGGGUCGCGGAAUUCCCGGUGUAGUGGUGAAAUGCGUAGAUAUCGGGAGGAACACCAGUGGCGAAGGCGACUUCCUGGCCUGUUCUUGACGCUGAGGCGCGAAAGCUAGGGGAGCAAACGGG
rnacentral:rRNA from 1 species